rnacentral:rRNA from 1 species
GAUGAACGCUGGCGGCGUGCCUAAUACAUGCAAGUCGAGCGAACGGACGAGAAGCUUGCUUCUCUGAUGUUAGCGGCGGACGGGCGAGUAACACGUGGAUAACCUACCUAUAAGACUGGGAUAAUUUCGGGAAACCGGAGCUAAUACCGGAUAAUAUUUUGAACCGCAUGGUUCAAAAGUGAAAGACGGUCUUGCUGUCACUUAUAGAUGGAUCCGCGCUGCAUUAGCUAGUUGGUAAGGUAACGGCUUACCAAGGCAACGAUGCAUAGCCGACCUGAGAGGGUGAUCGGCCACACUGGAACUGAGACACGGUCCAGACUCCUACGGGAGGCAGCAGUAGGGAAUCUUCCGCAAUGGGCGAAAGCCUGACGGAGCAACGCCGCGUGAGUGAUGAAGGUCUUCGGAUCGUAAAACUCUGUUAUUAGGGAAGAACAUAUGUGUAAGUAACUGUGCACAUCUUGACGGUACCUAAUCAGAAAGCCACGGCUAACUACGUG